rnacentral:misc_RNA from 1 species
GAUGAAGAACGCAGCGAAAUGCGAUACUUGGUGUGAAUUGCAGAAUCCCGUGAACCAUCGAGUCUUUGAACGCAAGUUGCGCCCGAAGCCAUCAGGUUGAGGGCACGUCUGCCUGGGCGUCACAUAUCGUUGCCCAAUGCCUAUUGCAGUGCAAUAGGAAUUUCUAGGGCGAAUGAUGGCUUCCCGUGAGCGUUGUUGCCUCGCGGUUGGUUGAAAAUCGAGUCCUUGGUAGGGUGUGCCAUGGUAGAUGGUGGUCGAGUUAGAACGAUACCGAUCAUGUGCAUGCUCCCCAAAAUAUGGCCUCUAUGGCCCACACGCGUCUUUUGACGCUCAUGACGAGACCUCAGGUCAGGCGGGGCUACCCGCUGAAUUUAAGCAUAUCAAUAAGCGGAGGA